CCGGAAUUUCCUUGCUACACCAUGCACAUAUGAUCUGUAGCUACAAUAAUGCACUUCAGAGAUCGUAAUAUUAGCUCUCGUCUGACGACACGAGAAGGAUAUGUGGGGGUAGUCUUAAUUAAAUUCAUCUGUUGAUCAUCCAGGCUGAGAAGUCAGGACAGCCUCGCGGCAGACACCUAAUGUGUGUCUGAAUUGUUAGAUUUGAAUAUGCAAGCCUGUAACCUGGUGUACCGUCGCCGAUUACUAGUUUCCUGUUGUGAUACGAGUGAUGCAGUGUGUGUACUGUGUUAUCUUGGUACUACAUCCUAAUGAGCUCAUUUCUUCCCAUUGUCUUUUAUCUUUGUGAUGCUUCAGACUAUCUUUGUGAUGCAGUGUGUCUGUACUGUUCUAUCUUGGUAUGGUUGUUGGAUCUCCACAGAAU
rnacentral:rRNA from 1 species